AUGCCUCUGUUGUUGCCUCUCCUUCCCACCCGUCCCGCCUCCCAAGUUCAAAAUUUCUGUCAAAGUUCAAAUCCGCGCGCCCAGUUCCAACUCUCCAGAAACCACUCCUACAGCCCAAUAUAAAUAAGUGGGCAGGCAUAUGGGACUCACGCUGCUCAAACUACACCCCCAGGAAGUCACACAUUGGUCACGCAAACCUUCAGAUUGAAGGGAGUGUGAGGAAGUGUGAUUCACUCCUCUUCGCCAUCUAAUCUUCUUCGUCAAGGGCAAGGCCAGGCGCUUCGCCUUUCAGCUAUGGAGUGGCGUGGUAUUCCAUGGGAGGUUUUUGUGGCCCAUGUUUCACGCAUGAUGGCCAUACAUAAAAAAAAACUCACUCUAGCUUCUCCCAUCUGAAUACUGUAUCAGUAGCAGUUGGAAAAUUUGAAUGCAUUAUUUUGUAGCCAAGUCCAACAGAACUUGCUCCAGUGGCAUGCCAAGUGCUCAUACAAGUCUAUUUAUACGCGAGCCAACAGAUAUGACAAGUUCAAGUCACUCGUCUUUGGAUGACGAAGUGACAAACGAAUCAUCUACGAUUUUCCCUUCUAAUGGCAUGCUCAUAUCAACUGAGGGCUUGGAGUGCGGAGAAAGCUCAAAAGGGCGAAAGCGUGCACGUGAAGCAAUAAGAUAUGCUAGCCGUACACCAGAACAAAUCCAAGCAAGGCGAGAACGUGUUAGAGCACGUCGGCAAAAUUUAACACCUGCUGAGAAGAAAAAGAUUAAUGCACAAAGAAGAGAAAAAAAGACAACGAAUGGCACAUGAUGAGAGGAAUGCAAGCCAAUGAGCACGUAGGCAAAGUUUGACAUUAGAUGAGAGGCAAGAAAUAAAUGUGAGCAGAUGGAUGAUGUGAGAGCUCCAAAGCUAAUAUUGUUGGCAUAAAUGUUUUGAGCAAACAACUACAGAAGAGUAUACUAUGCUGAGAAAUGACUUCAUGGCACUGGUAGAGAAUAGG